rnacentral:rRNA from 1 species
AUGGCCGAUCGGCGAGGCGACGGCAUGCGCCAGCAGCCCCCUUACUCGUCGGGCCAUCAGGAGCGGGUCUUCGACGGCGGCGGCGGCAGCAGCGGAGGCCCGGCGUUCGGGAACGACUACGAUCCUGGUUCAUCCUACAUGUCGCUUCUUGGCUCCGGCGUCAACCCCCAGCAGUUGCUGCCGGCACCGCCGGCAUGGGCGGUCGAGGAGGUGGCCCCGCCGACGAUUAAUCUCACUCCUCAGUUCUCCAUGGCAAACUAUGUGCCGACGUCGUCCUACCAGCAACAGCAGCACCAGACGGCUGCCUCCUUCGUGGCACCCCUCGCCGCCAAUCUCCACCCCUACCAGUCGUCGUCGUCGUCCUACUUCCAGGCCGACCCGCUGCCGCAAUGGCCUCCGCGGGCAAUGGCGCCGUCGCCCUCCUCCUCCCUGCUGCCCCGCAACUUCACGCUCCACCAAACGCCGGCGUACCCGCACCACCACGAGCAGCAGAUGCACAUGCAGCUGCUGCGCGCGGCGGCGCUGGGCGGCCCGCACGCGGCGCCGGCGCCCCCCAUCGAGCAGCCGGCCAAGGACGGCUACAACUGGCGCAAGUACGGGCAGAAGCAGCUCAAGGACGCCGAGUCGCCGCGGAGCUACUACAAGUGCACCCGGGACGCCUGCCCCGUCAAGAAGAUCGUGGAGCGCUCCUUCGACGGCUGCAUCAAGGAGAUCACCUACAAGGGCCGGCACACCCACCCGCGGCCCCCCGAGCCCCGGCGCGCCGGAGCGGAGGACGUCGCCGCCCCCGGCAGCGCUCAUCAGGAGGACGAGCUGAGCGACGACGAGGAUGACGGCGAGGAGGGCCACGACAUUGGCAGCGGCGCGGGUGGUCCGGCGGGGCAGAGGGUGGUGAGGAAGCACAAGAUCAUACUGCAGACGCCGAGCGAGGUUGAUCUGCUGGACGACGGCUACCGGUGGCGCAAGUACGGCCAGAAAGUGGUCAAGGGCAACCCCCGUCCGAGGAGCUACUACAAGUGCACUGCCGAGAAUUGCAAUGUGCGCAAGCAGAUCGAGAGGGCAUCCAUCGACCCUAGGUGUGUCCUAACGACAUACACUGGGCGGCACAACCACGACCCACCGGGCAGGGGAGCUGGAGCCGCCGCCGCUGCCGGGGCAGGCGGCGGCUCCUCCUCUGAUCCCAUGCCGUCCGCAGCGAACCCGUCCGGCAGCACAUUGCACCAGCCAAGUGGCAUUCAUCAGUUGAAAGAGGAGAACCGGGAUUAA